rnacentral:rRNA from 1 species
CAAUAGCGUAUAUUUAAGUUGUUGCAGUUAAAAAGCUCGUAGUUGGAUUUCGGGUGGGACGCAGCGGUCUCGCAUUGCGUUUGUACUGCUGCAGCCCUCCUUCUUGCCGGGGGCGGCCUCUCGGACUUCACUGUCUGGGGGUCAGAAUCGGUGAUGUUACUUUGAGUAAAUUAGAGUGUUCAAAGCAAGCUUACGCUCUGAAUAUAAUAGCAUGGGAUAACACGACAGGACUCUGGCCUAUCGUGUUGGUCUAUAGGACCAGAGUAAUGAUUAAGAGGGACAGUCGGGGGCAUUCGUAUUCCGUUGUCAGAGGUGAAAUUCUUGGAUUUACGGAAGACGAACAUCUGCGAAAGCAUUUGCCAAGGAUGUUUUCAUUGA